GCCUGGGUGGCUCAGUCAGUUAAGCAUCUGACUUUGGCUCAGGUCGUGAUCUCGCAGUUUGUGAGUUCAAGCCCCAUGUCAGGCU
rnacentral:tRNA from 1 species